AACGAACGCUGGCGGCAGGCCUAACACAUGCAAGUCGAACGCUCCAGCAAUAGAGAGUGGCAGACGGGUGAGUAACGCGUGGGAAACUUCCUAGGGGUACGGAAUAGCUCAGGGAAACUUGGGGUAAUACCGUAUGAUGCCGUAAGGCCAAAGAUUUAUCGCCCUUAGAUGUGCCCGCGUCGGAUUAGCUAGUUGGUGAGGUAAUGGCUCACCAAGGCGACGAUCCGUAGCUGGUUUGAGAGAAUGACCAGCCACACUGGGACUGAGACACGGCCCAGACUCCUACGGGAGGCAGCAGUGGGGAAUCUUGGACAAUGGGCACAAGCCUGAUCCAGCCAUGCCGCGUGAGUGACGAAGGCCUUAGGGUUGUAAAACUCUUUUGCCGGGGACGAUAAUGACGGUACCCGGAGAAUAAGUCCCGGCUAACUUCGUGCCAGCCGCCGCGGUAA
rnacentral:rRNA from 1 species